AUGUCCGCACCUCCUUCCCCUCCGGCUAGAAUCAGCGCUCAAGCCGUCCACCAGCCCCCGUGGCCAGCGGGCGCCGGAUCCGUCACCGGCGUGCUCAGGUUGGUCCCUCUCCUUCUUGUUCGGCCCACCAUCUUCUCCCCACCUCACCUAUUCUUUCCUGUGAUUUCCUUUCAUGCAUAUCCAUGGCGCGAACGGAAGAAGCAGGACAGGCACAGAUGGAGGAACACCGUCUUCAUACCCUGCCCCGACGCCAAAGGUGAUUGCGUCAAAGAUAUGGAGGCGUUCAGGAAGCGGGCGGGCAAGUUCAAGGAGCAAGUUGCCAAGCAGCAGCAGGAAAAACAACUGUAUGCUUCCCUCAUUGAUGCUACUACAGAUAAUAUAUUUGAGUACGCGGAUGCCGGAGGGGUCGUGCCUGAGGAGACCGAGCUCGCCAUGCUGCUCCUUUUCAAUGCCAACAAGGGAAGGGCCGACGAGGAGAACAGGGUCCCUACACCAAGAAGUUAG
rnacentral:rRNA from 1 species